UUGCAGGACUGAGGACCUGGGUUUGAUCCUCAGAAUCCAUGCUUUUUGUUUUUUGUUUUUCUUAAAGUUAGAGAUGAUGGCAUAAACAGGCAACCCUAAUACUGGGAAAGCAGAGUCCAGCUAGAUCAUGGAAGAUCAAUGUCAUCCUAUAGAGCAAGCAGAGGAAGUGAAAAUUCCUGGUAGAAAGGAAGAAGAAAUGGAAACUAUUGACAAAGGAGGAAGGACAGAAGGGGAGCAAAGAAGGAGGAAGCCAAAAGACUCUGAAAGGAUGGAUGGAUGGAGCCUCCAGAGGAAAUGAGUAUGAUUUCAAAAGAAAACAAGGAACCAGCUGUUGUGGCUGCAAAGAAUACACAGGAUCGCCCUGUUUGCUUAGCGUCUUCUCUCCCUGGGGUGCGCCUGCCCCCUUCCCUGCCUUCAAGCCUCCGUGGAGGGAAAGGGGGAAGCUCAGAUACAAGCACAAGUGAGGAGAUUCAACGGCCGGUGUGGGCGUGGUGCUUCCAUCUUCUAUUUCUGUGCAUCUGGGUAAGUCACUCAGCCUCUCCGGGCUCUGGUGUCUUCAUCUUCAUGAUGUUUCCUCCUCAAGAAGUGACCAUGAAGGUGAAACAAGCUCACAGCUCAGGGACCCAGAAAACUGCAAACCAGAUGGUUUAAUAACCACUAGUUACGAUUCCAGGCUCAA